rnacentral:rRNA from 1 species
AUGCAAGUCGAACGAGUUCUGAUUAUUGAAAGGUGCUUGCAUCUUGAUUUAAUUUUGAACGAGUGGCGGACGGGUGAGUAACACGUGGGUAACCUGCCCUUAAGUGGGGGAUAACAUUUGGAAACAGAUGCUAAUACCGCAUAAAUCCAAGAACCGCAUGGUUCUUGGCUGAAAGAUGGCGUAAGCUAUCGCUUUUGGAUGGACCCGCGGCGUAUUAGCUAGUUGGUGAGGUAACGGCUCACCAAGGCAAUGAUACGUAGCCGAACUGAGAGGUUGAUCGGCCACAUUGGGACUGAGACACGGCCCAAACUCCUACGGGAGGCAGCAGUAGGGAAUCUUCCACAAUGGACGCAAGUCUGAUGGAGCAACGCCGCGUGAGUGAAGAAGGCUUUCGGGUCGUAAAACUCUGUUGUUGGAGAAGAAUGGUCGGCAGAGUAACUGUUGUCGGCGUGACGGUAUCCAACCAGAAAGCCACGGCUAACUACGUGCCAGCAGCCGCGGUAAUACGUAGGUGGCAAGCGUUAUCCGGAUUUAUUGGGCGUAAAGCGAGCGCAGGCGGUUUUUUAAGUCUGAUGUGAAAGCCCUCGGCUUAACCGAGGAAGUGCAUCGGAAACUGGGAAACUUGAGUGCAGAAGAGGACAGUGGAACUCCAUGUGUAGCGGUGAAAUGCGUAGAUAUAUGGAAGAACACCAGUGGCGAAGGCGGCUGUCUGGUCUGUAACUGACGCUGAGGCUCGAAAGCAUGGGUAGCGAACAGGAUUAGAUACCCUGGUAGUCCAUGCCGUAAACGAUGAAUGCUAGGUGUUGGAGGGUUUCCGCCCUUCAGUGCCGCAGCUAACGCAUUAAGCAUUCCGCCUGGGGAGUACGACCGCAAGGUUGAAACUCAAAGGAAUUGACGGGGGCCCGCACAAGCGGUGGAGCAUGUGGUUUAAUUCGAAGCAACGCGAAGAACCUUACCAGGUCUUGACAUCUUUUGAUCACCUGAGAGAUCAGGUUUCCCCUUCGGGGGCAAAAUGACAGGUGGUGCAUGGUUGUCGUCAGCUCGUGUCGUGAGAUGUUGGGUUAAGUCCCGCAACGAGCGCAACCCUUAUGACUAGUUGCCAGCAUUUAGUUGGGCACUCUAGUAAGACUGCCGGUGACAAACCGGAGGAAGGUGGGGAUGACGUCAAAUCAUCAUGCCCCUUAUGACCUGGGCUACACACGUGCUACAAUGGAUGGUACAACGAGUUGCGAGACCGCGAGGUCAAGCUAAUCUCUUAAAGCCAUUCUCAGUUCGGACUGUAGGCUGCAACUCGCCUACACGAAGUCGGAAUCGCUAGUAAUCGCGGAUCAGCACGCCGCGGUGAAUACGUUCCCGGGCCUUGUACACACCGCCCGUCACACCAUGAGAGUUUGUAACACCCGAAGCCGGUGGCGUAACCCUUUUAGGGAGCGAG